rnacentral:tRNA from 1 species
CAAUAUAUAGUUUAAAUAAAAACAUUAAUUUUGGGGAUUAAAGAUAUUUUUAAUAAAUUAUUUUGA